rnacentral:lncRNA from 1 species
UAAAAGUGACAACUUAAAUUAUCAAAUCAAUAAAAAAAUAAUUUUGAUUUAGACACUUCAAAAAAAAAUAUCAGCCAAAUGUCGAACAAGUGUCUAAAUGUGUUGGUAUCAUGAGUCUCACACACAAUAACACUUCAAACAAGAAAAGUGUGAAUGUCCAUGAUUCAUAGGUGUGAGGGAGUAACAAGGAUUUGGAUUUAGCUUAGAAGAGGAGGAAUCAAUAGACGUUCCACACUUCCACCUCCUAACAUCACCAAUUUUGCGGUUUGGAUUAGCGAAGUCAUUUCUCAAAAGGAUGAUGAAUUUACUGCAAGAGUGUUUGAAUUGAUUUGGGUGCCCUGGAAAAAGAAGAAAUGCUUAAUUGGCUUUUCACUAAAAAAAGAAAUGCAGCAAUUAAACCAGCUCAUGGGCAUGAUGAUGAAGACUUUAGGGACUCAGGAAAAAAGAUAAUGUAUUCCCAGCAACGAAUACUCACAUUGAGUGUAGCCUCCAACACGAGCAAAUAAAGAUUAAUUUUGAAUUUUGACACUUGAGUGAAAAGAGGAAUUGGCACGAGACUCGGAGCGGUUUUUAUAGAGAUCAUGCAGGGAAUCACUUGGCUGCAACAACCUUUUUCAUCCCUCACUGCUAUGAUCCACUUGUG